rnacentral:rRNA from 1 species
UACGUAGGUGGCAAGCGUUGUUCGGAAUUACUGGGCGUAAAGGGCUCGUAGGCGGCCAACUAAGUCAGACGUGAAAUCCCUCGGCUUAACCGGGGAACUGCAUCUGAUACUGGAUGGCUUGAGUUCGGGGAGAGGGAUGCGGAAUUCCAGGUGUAGCGGUGAAAUGCGUAGAUAUCUGGAGGAACACCGGUGGCGAAGGCGGCAUCCUGGACCGACACUGACGCCUGAGGAGCGAAAGCCAGGGGAGCAAA